UACGUAGGGCGCAAGCGUUAUCCGGAAUUAUUGGGCGUAAAGGGCGCGUAGGCGGCCGUGCAAGUGGAAGGUGAAAUCCCUCGGCUCAACCGAGGAACUGCCUUUCAAACUGCAUGGCUUGAGUCCGGGAGAGGUGAGUGGAAUUCCCAGUGUAGCGGUGAAAUGCGUAGAUAUUGGGAGGAACACCAGUGGCGAAGGCGGCUCACUGGACCGGAACUGACGCUGAGGCGCGAAAGCGUGGGGAGCAAACAGG
rnacentral:rRNA from 1 species